UUGAACGAAACCUCUGGCUGGAUGCUGUUGUGCUGGCCCUUUGGGGCAAAUGUGCACGCUCUCUGGUCGUUUGUUUCUUCUGUUCCACCUGUGCACUGCCUGUAGACACGCUCUGUGUCUAUGAUAUGUUCACACACACACACGGAUGUAUUAUGCAUAUAUAAAUAAAAAUAAAAAUAAAAU
rnacentral:misc_RNA from 1 species